rnacentral:rRNA from 1 species
GGAGGGUGCGAGCGUUGUCCGGAAUCACUGGGCGUAAAGGGCGCGUAGGUGGCGCGACAAGUCAACGGUGAAAGCCCGGGGCUCAACCCCGGGUCGGCCGUCGAUACUGUUGGGCUUGAGCACUGUAGAGGCAGGUGGAAUUCCGGGUGUAGCGGUGGAAUGCGUAGAGAUCCGGAAGAACACCGGUGGCGAAGGCGGCCUGCUGGGCAGUAGCUGACACUGAGGCGCGACAGCGUGGGGAGCAAACAGGAUUAGAUACCCUGGUAGUCCAUGCCGUAAACGAUGGGCACUAGAUGCUUGGGGGAGCGACCCUCUGAGUGUCGGCGCUAACGCAUUAAGUGCCCCGCCUGGGGAGUACGGCCGCAAGGCUG